CGGGGCGUAGCUCAGUUUGGCUAGAGCGCUGCGUUUGGGACGCAGAGGCCGGAGGUUCAAAUCCUCUCGCCCCGA
rnacentral:tRNA from 1 species